AGAGUUUGAUCCUGGCUCAGAAUCAACGCUGGCGGCGUGCCUAACACAUGCAAGUCGCACGAGAAAGGGGAGCAAUCCCUGAGUAAAGUGGCGCACGGGUGAGUAACACGUGAAUUAUCUACCUCCGAGUGGGGAAUAACUGAGAGAAAUCUUAGCUAAUACCGCAUAACACUUACGAGUCAAAGCAGCAAUGCGCUUGGAGAGGAGUUCGCGGCCGAUUAGUUAGUUGGCGGGGUAAUGGCCCACCAAGACGAUGAUCGGUAUCCGGCCUGAGAGGGCGCACGGACACACUGGAACUGAAACACGGUCCAGACUCCUACGGGAGGCAGCAGUGGGGAAUUUUGCGCAAUGGGGGAAACCCUGACGCAGCAACGCCGCGUGGAGGAUGAAAUAUCUUGGUAUGUAAACUCCUUUCGAUGGGGAAGAUUAUGACGGUACCCAUAGAAGAAGCCCCGGCUAACUUCGUGCCAGCAGCCGCGGUAAUACGAGGGGGGCAAGCGUUGUUCGGAUUUAUUGGGCGUAAAGGGUGCGUAGGCGGUUUGGCAAGUCUGAUGUGAAAUCUAUGGGCUCAACCCAUAGUCUGCAUCAGAAACUGCCGGGCUUGAGUAUGGGAGAGGUGAGUGGAAUUUCCGGUGUAGCGGUGAAAUGCGUAGAUAUCGGAAGGAACACCUGUGGCGAAAGCGGCUCACUGGACCAUAACUGACGCUGAUGCACGAAAGCUAGGGGAGCAAACAGGAUUAGAUACCCUAGUAGUCC
rnacentral:rRNA from 1 species